CCUACGGGUGGCAGCAGUGGGGAAUAUUGGACAAUGGGCGAAAGCCUGAUCCAGCCAUGCCGCGUGUGUGAAGAAGGCCUUCGGGUUGUAAAGCACUUUCAGUGGGGAAGAAAGCCUUGGGGCUAAUACCCUCGAGGAAGGACAUCACCCACAGAAGAAGCACCGGCUAACUCCGUGCCAGCAGCCGCGGUAAUACGGAGGGUGCGAGCGUUAAUCGGAAUUACUGGGCGUAAAGCGCGCGUAGGCGGUCUGAUAAGCCGGUUGUGAAAGCCCCGGGCUCAACCUGGGAACGGCAUCCGGAACUGUCAGGCUAGAGUGCAGCAGAGGAAGGUAGAAUUCCAGGUGUAGCGGUGAAAUGCGUAGAGAUCGGGAGGAAUACCGGUGGCGAAGGCAGCCUUCUGGACUGACACUGACGCUGAGGUGCGAAAGCGUGGGUAGCAAACAGGAUUACAUACCCCAGUAGUC
rnacentral:rRNA from 1 species